AAGCAGUUUUUACAUUUUCUCCUAACUUUGAGAGCAUGGGUAACUUCUAUUUUUUUGGCGCGGUCCCCUUCUCCAUCAUCUUUACUUCAACCUUUAAACUUCCUUUUUCAACUAUUAAAAUUCCUGACUAUGUUGAGGAAAUUAAGAAAAUGGGUUUGUUGCCGAUGCCAGCAGAAUAGAAGCUCCCCAUGUUCUCACCGUUAGCAGAAAACGGGUGUUAUCUGGAUAAGACCUCCAGGAACCAUUCCCAAGUUUGCCAGCACCACCAUCACUUCUUCACUCUAGUAUCCGGUAUGGUGAGAUUAAUUAAUAUAUAAAUGAUAGAUUUAUACCUUCUCGGAUUUUUUUUUUCUUUUGCUGAGUUCUUGGCAUAAAUUUUGGAGGGAUUCUGAUGUGACAAAAUCUAAGGGGUGUUUGGUUGAAUUGUUUUUUAUUUUUAUUUUCAAUAGAAAUAGAAAAUAGUGAUAAAAAUGUGUUUGGUUGAAUUUUUGUUUUCAUUUUCAGUGAAAAUAUUUUCUCAAACAAACCAAAAAUGGAAAAUAAUAAAAUUUUAUUUUCAGUUGAAAUCAGAACCUCAUUUUGAUUAAAAUGAAAAUACACAAGGAAUAUAAUUUUAAGCAAUAUUUCCUUUUGAAAGCAUGUUCAGUGUUUUUAUUUCUUGAAAGCAAAAAACAAGAAAUCAAAUCAAACAUAUUUUUUCAGAAUUUUAAUCUUUUGAAAAUGAAAACAGUUUUAAGAAAAUGAAAACAGGAAAUGAAAAUAGAAAAUGAAAAUACAAACCAAACACACCCUAAUUAAUUCAACAUUCUCUCUUUAGAUAUUAAUUAUUUUUUGGCGAAAAAAAUUAAGUUGUGAAAAAAUAAAGGAUAAUUUUAAAAGAAUAAUAUAAAUAAUUGAUAAAUUAAUAUGAUUAUUUAAAGGUGUGAAUGAGUUAAAGCGAUUUUAUUUAUAGGAACAAAUGUAGUAUUUAUAAAUAGAGUUUAAAGGUCACGAAGUAAUUUGUUUGGAUACAGGCCGAUAUAUAUUGAACUUACUUCAUUAAGGGGAUUGCUCUUGUAGUAUCACAAUUGUUGUUGACACUAUCCAGGUGGGUGUCAUUUUGUUUUAUCCUAUAAUUGUUCCUUGGAAAUCGCAGAGGGAGUUAGAUCUAUGACCUUCAAGCCGCAAUGGUGGAGGAUGGGAUCACACAUGAGGUGGUGGAUAAAGGUGGGGUCACACGCGAUGGUGGUAGACGAGGUUGGGGAACUGAGAAAUUUACGGGGAAGGGGAAGGGAAAGGGGUGUAAGGAUUUGAUUUUUUUAAAGGAUCGUUGUCCCUUGCCUCCUGUUGUACUACAAUGGAGAAGUUACUACACACCCAAAGUUCGCUCAUGGCAAAAGCUUACAAUCAACACAUACAAGCUUUCAACUCAAUACAAUUUGAAUUAGUUAGAGGAUUUCAAUACAUAAUAGACAUUUCUAAGGAUUGAAAUAUGUAGUAGACAUUUUGUUCAUGACAAAAGUUACAUGUGUAUCCCAUUAUUUUUAUGGAUGUGAACCUCAAUAUGUAAUUGAUAUUUCUAUGAAAUUGUAUGCAAUACAUGUAAUUUCUGAAGACUUUUUAAAAUUAUGAAAAAAAGGUACAAUGGAAGUAUGACUUCAUCACACUUCCAUUGUACAAUUUUUUUAAGAAAAA